GGGGGGGGUGCGCAUAACACACACAAGUAGAGCGGUCAGAAGAGAGCUUGUUCUUGGAAGUUAGCGGCGGACGGGUGAGUAACACGUGGGCAACCUGCCUGUAAGACUGGGAUAACUCCGGGAAACCGGAGCUAAUACCGGAUAGUUCAUUGCUUCGCAUGGUUCAAGGAUGAAAGACGGUUUCGGCUGUCACUUCCAGAUGGACCCGCGGCGCAUUAGCUAGUUGGUGAGGUAAUGGCUCACCAAGGCGACGAUGCGUAGCCGACCUGAGAGGGUGAUCGGCCACACUGGGACUGAGACACGGCCCAGACUCCUACGGGAGGCAGCAGUAGGGAAUCUUCCGCAAUGGACGAAAGUCUGACGGAGCAACGCCGCGUGAGUGAAGAAGGUUUUCGGAUCGUAAAGCUCUGUUGUUAGGGAAGAACAAGUGCGAGAGUAACUGCUCGCACCUUGACGGUACCUCACCAGAAAGCCACGGCUAACUACGUGCCAGCAGCCGCGGUAAUACGUAGGUGGCAAGCGUUGUCCGGAAUUAUUGGGCGUAAAGGGCUCGCAGGCGGUCUUUUAAGUCUGAUGUGAAAGCCCCCGGCUCAACCGGGGAGGGUCAUUGGAAACUGGGGAACUUGAGUGCAGAAGAGGAAAGUGGAAUUCCAAGUGUAGCGGUGAAAUGCGUAGAGAUGUGGAGGAACACCAGUGGCGAAGGCGACUUUCUGGUCUGUAACUGACGCUGAGGAGCGAAAGCGUGGGGAGCGAACAGGAUUAGAUACCCUGGUAGUCCACGCCGUAAACGAUGAGUGCUAAGUGUUAGGGGGUUUCCGCCCCUUAGUGCUGCAGCUAACGCAUAAGCU
rnacentral:rRNA from 1 species